rnacentral:lncRNA from 1 species
AAAGGGCUGAGAGCCAGUUUCACAAGGGAGCUGUAAAAAUGCACCUGGAGCUCUGGUUUCAUAAUGGAGUGGCACAGUGCAUUCAGUGUGGCUGAACUGUACCAACUUCUUGCAGUCAAGAUGCCUGCAGGAGAUUCAGGAAUUCAGGACAAACUGGGAGCUUCAACCCUGACAUUAAAUUCUCCCAUGACUGCCCCUCUCUUUAGAUUUUCCUGAUAAACACCCAGUUACCUCACACUGCCUAUGAACAAUACUUUAG